rnacentral:rRNA from 1 species
UACGUAGGGGGCUAGCGUUGUCCGGAAUCAUUGGGCGUAAAGCGCGUGUAGGCGGUCCGGUAAGUCCGCUGUGAAAGUCGAGGGCUCAACCCUCGAAUGCCGGUGGAUACUGUCGGGCUUGAGUACGGGAGAGGCGAGUGGAAUUCCUGGCGUAGCGGUGAAAUGCGCAGAUAUCAGGAGGAACACCGAUUGCGAAGGCAGCUCGCUGGAGCGUUACUGACGCUGAGACGCGAAAGCGUGGGGAGCAAACAGG